rnacentral:rRNA from 1 species
UACAGAGGUCUCAAGCGUUGUUCGGAUUUACUGGGCGUAAAGCGCACGUAGGCGGAUUGUUAAGUCAGAGGUGAAAUCCCGGAGCUCAACUUCGGAACUGCCUUUGAUACUGGCAAUCUAGAGUCCGGAAGAGGUUAGUGGAAUUCCCAGUGUAGAGGUGAAAUUCGUAGAUAGUGGGAAGAACACCAGUGGCGAAGGCGGCUAACUGGUCCGGUACUGACGCUGAGGUGCGAAAGCGUGGGGAGCAAACAGG